CGAAGCUUGAAAAGUAAAGGCGAGCGAUUAUAAUUUUUUUUUGUAAACAUAAAAUAGUAGGUUUUGAUAAUAUUAAAACUUGAUUUAUCACUUGUACUUUGACAUUUCUUUAACUUCUGAAGUAUUUUUUCCCUGUUCACCAAUAAAUAAUUAUAUCUGGUCUAUGUAUGUGUGACUGACAAUGAGACAAUUCUCCAUCCAAGUCAUAAUCAGUUUG
rnacentral:lncRNA from 1 species